ensembl:lncRNA
AGCUGCUUACCUUUGGAAGGCCUCAGGUGUGCAGGGAUCUCCAGCAAGAACCCCUCACCUCCACUGCCAACCCUUAAAUGAGGGCUGGGAAGGGGUGGAUCCUGGCUGCAGCCCUUCCAUCACUCAGCACAUUGCAUGCACCUGAGCUGCCCUGGGCUGGCCCUGCCUUCCCCCCAGGUGCUCCAUCACUGCUUCAGGCCGUGACUCAGCAUUUUGACUACAGGUGCAAAUUUCUUUCUUUCCCUUUUCCUGGAGAUAGCUUUGCUCUUUUACUUGAAAAAUGAGGAUGGUCGUAUUAAAUAAGAAUUUCCUUUAAAAAUGCACCAUUUUAAAGGCACCCCACACAGGAAAGGAGUUUGGUUUUGAGUUUUGCUGGAAACAAGACAUUUAUUGAAGGCAGCUUUGGUAGAGAAGCUGGUGCCAUUUGGUGGGUCCUCCAAGGCUCCAGCACAUCACCCUCCAUCUCCUCUCUAUGUCCUUUUCUGGUUACCUCCAUUUUUCUCUUGCCUUCUGUUCCCUUUUCCGUGUUUGUUUUUUCUUGCCACUUUGUGCCUUUCCCUCUCACCUCACCCAAUUUUGGUGAAUAUUUGUGCACUACAGAAUGCCUGGGCCAGUGCUUCUCAUCCCGUUUUCCCAGCAGCACCUCCAGAGCCAGAGAGCCAAUGGAGGCGGUGUCUGCUUUCCAUCACACCUGCCAGGCAGGGCUUAGAUCUCCUCCAGUUUAAGACAUGUCGG